AUUGAACGCUGGCGGCGUGCUUAACACAUGCAAGUCGAUCGGUAACGCGGGGGCAACCCUGGCGACGAGAGGCGGACGGGUGAGGAACGCUUGGGAAUCUGCCUAUCAGCGGGGGACAACACGGGGAAACUCGUGCUAAUACCGCAUACGCCCUACGGAGGAAAGCCGGGGACCGCAAGGCCUGGCACCGAUAGAUGAGCCCAAGCCGGAUUAGCUAGUUGGCGGGGGAACGGCCCACCAAGGGGACGAUCCGUAGCUGGUCUGAGAGGACGAUCAGCCACACUGGGACUGAGACACGGCCCAGACUCCUACGGGAGGCAGCAGUGGGGAAUAUUGGACAAUGGGGGAAACCCUGAUCUAGCGACGCCGCGUGGGUGAAGAAGGCCUGCGGGUUGUAAAGCCCUUUCGGUAGGGACGAAAGCUCUCGACCUAACACGUCGGGAGGUUGACUUAACCUACAAAAGAAGCACCGGCUAACUCUGUGCCAGCAGCCGCUGUAAUAC
rnacentral:rRNA from 1 species